UCUCAUCUACUUUCUGUCUCUAGAAUUUGCCUAUUCUAGAUGCCCGGAGCUGCGCUGUGCUGGGAGACGGAGCUGAGCUGUCAGUGCUGGGGCAGCGGGUGAAAGCAACAAGCCAAAGACGAAAGGGGGAAGCUUUAAUCACUUACUGCGGUGACAGAAGCGAGAAGGCACCGACGCCCCGUUCCAUCUUCCCCCAUGAGUGGCGCACCUGUGGAGGGUCAGGUGGAGCAGAGCACGUGUUGAGGGGACCCCACAGGGAGGAGGAGGGGUGGGUGUGGAGGAGGACAGCGGGGAGUGGAGGAGCACUGGGCCCUGAGUCAGGGGGGCAGUAUCUUGGUGGUCCCCCCUCAUCCCCACCUAAAGAGGCCUCACAGAGGCGCCUGGAGAAGAGCCCUGCCUGAGGUCGCAGAUAGCGACCUAGGAAUGGAGGCACCCGGCUAGGAAUGUAAAUGGGCGAGGAGAAGGCCGGCCAGGGGCAGAGUCCUCGCCUGCAGCUCCCUCAGAGCCCGCAGUGCCCGCCGCCGGGCCGGGCUGCUGGGGGAAGGGAGCUUCCCCACCCCUCCCCGCAUGGCCACCAGGGAAAGCGUUUGUAAUGGCCUGUGGCGGCCAAAAAGUCGCACAAAGACGUUUAACCCGGAGCCCGACUCCUCACUACAUAUUUCAACUCACCUGUGACCACUCAGCUGGAGACAACAGACUGCCACCCUGCUGUGUUCACUGAGACAGAAGACCUACCUGCUGUUUCCAUCAAUCGCUGUGCCGACAGAGCAGUCUCGCGACUAUUGUAAAAGAGACAUUUCAAUCCUAUGUGAAACAUCCUCUCUGGGGGUAUAUAACCAGUCUCUGCACCCCACUUCUUUGGUGCCCUUUCUUCCUUCGGGAAGAAAGGCCCCGGGUUAUAAUCCUCAGAUUUAAGCUCAGAAUAAACUCACCCAAAUUUUCAUU
rnacentral:lncRNA from 1 species